GACGAACGCUGGCGGCGUGCCUAAUACAUGCAAGUCGAACGGUGAAGCUCCAAGCUUGCUUGGGGUGGAUCAGUGGCGAACGGGUGAGUAACACGUGAGUAACCUGCCCCGGACUCUGGAAUAAGCGCUGGAAACUGCGUCUAAUACUGGAUAUGACAUCAAGCCGCAUGGUUAUGGUGUGGAAAGGUUUUCGGUCCGGGAUGGGCUCGCGGCCUAUCAGCUUGUUGGUGAGGUAAUGGCUCACCAAGGCGACGACGGGGAGCCGGCCUGAUAGGGCGACGCGCCACACUAGGACUGCGACACGGCCCAGACGCAUACGGGAUGAGGCAUUGGGUAAUAUUGCCCACUGGGCGAAAGACUGAGUCAGCGACGCCGCGUGCGGCAUGACGGCCUUCGAGUUGUAAACCUCUUUCAGCAGGGAAGAAGCGAAAGUGAGGGUACAUGCAGAAGAAGCACCGGCUGAGGACGUGCAAGCCGCCGCCGUAA
rnacentral:rRNA from 1 species